rnacentral:snRNA from 1 species
AUUUCUGUUUGUUUCAUUGUUUCACCUCGUAAGAGGAAGUUCAUUGUGCGAUAAAUCAAUCUGUUCUUAUCGGCUUAAUCUCCGGUACGUUACCUAUUGGUAACAUCGAGAUUAACUGAUUUUUGAAACCGGAUGGGUUUGCAGGGGCUUGCUCCUCGCCCAUCACGGGUCGGCCUGGUAUUGCACUGCCUCCAGGAUCGGCCCUUCCCCU